rnacentral:rRNA from 1 species
UUGACCUCAAAUCAGGUAGGACUACCCGCUGAACUUAAGCAUAUCAAUAAGCGGAGGAAAAGAAACUAACAAGGAUUCCCCUAGUAACUGCGAGUGAAGCGGGAAAAGCUCAAAUUUAAAAUCUGGCGGUCCUCGCGGCCGUCCGAGUUGUAAUCUGGAGAAGCGUUUUCCGCGUCGGACCGUGUACAAGUCUUCUGGAAUGGAGCGUCGUAGAGGGUGAGAAUCCCGUAUACGGCGCGGACCGCCGAUGUUUUGUGAUACUCUCUCAGCGAGUCGAGUUGUUUGGGAAUGCAGCUCAAAAGGGGGGGUAAAUCCCAUAAAAAGAUAAAUAUUGGCGAGAGACCGAUAGCGCACAAGUCCCGAGAGGGAAAGAUGAAACGCACUUUGGAAAGAGAGUGACACAGUACGAGAAAUUGUUGAAAGGGAAGCGUUAGAACUCAGUCAUGUCUGUCGGGAUUCAACUGGGCUUUUGCCCGGUGUACUUUCCGUCCGACGGGUCAGCAUCAAUUUCGACCGAGGGAAAAAGAUGGGAGGAAUGUGGC